rnacentral:rRNA from 1 species
GACGAACGCUGGCGGCGUGCCUAAUACAUGCAAGUCGAGCGAAGUUUUUCUGGUGCUUGCACUAGAAAAACUUAGCGGCGAACGGGUGAGUAACACGUAAAGAACCUGCCUCAUAGACUGGGACAACUAUUGGAAACGAUAGCUAAUACCGGAUAACAGCAUUAACUGCAUGGUUGAUGUUUAAAAGUUGGUUUUGCUAACACUAUGAGAUGGCUUUGCGGUGCAUUAGCUAGUUGGUGGGGUAAAGGCCUACCAAGGCGACGAUGCAUAGCCGACCUGAGAGGGUGAUCGGCCACACUGGGACUGAGACACGGCCCAGACUCCUACGGGAGGCAGCAGUAGGGAAUCUUCCGCAAUGGGCGAAAGCCUGACGGAGCAACGCCGCGUGAGUGAAGAAGGAUUUCGGUUCGUAAAACUCUGUUGUUAGGGAAGAAUGAUUGUGUAGUAACUAUACACAGUAGAGACG